rnacentral:ncRNA from 2 species
UGUGUCCGCUAGGGGAGCCUCUUUAUAGGCUGAGAUCAAAAUUUGAGACCCUUAGAACCUGAUCUGGAUGAUGCCAGCGUAGGGAAGUGGAAGUGACAGAGA